AGAGUUUGAUCCUGGCUCAGGACGAACGCUGGCGGCGCGCCUAACACAUGCAAGUCGAACGAGAGAUGAGGAGCUUGCUCUUCAAAUCGAGUGGCGAACGGGUGAGUAACGCGUGAGGAACCUGCCUCAAAGAGGGGGACAACAGUUGGAAACGACUGCUAAUACCGCAUAAGCCCACGGCUCGGCAUCGAGCAGAGGGAAAAGGAGCAAUCCGCUUUGAGAUGGCCUCGCGUCCGAUUAGCUAGUUGGUGAGGUAACGGCCCACCAAGGCGACGAUCGGUAGCCGGACUGAGAGGUUGAACGGCCACAUUGGGACUGAGACACGGCCCAGACUCCUACGGGAGGCAGCAGUGGGGAAUAUUGCACAAUGGGGGAAACCCUGAUGCAGCGACGCCGCGUGGAGGAAGAAGGUCUUCGGAUUGUAAACUCCUGUUGUUGAGGAAGAUAAUGACGGUACUCAACAAGGAAGUGACGGCUAACUACGUGCCAGCAGCCGCGGUAAAACGUAGGUCACAAGCGUUGUCCGGAAUUACUGGGUGUAAAGGGAGCGCAGGCGGGAGAACAAGUUGGAAGUGAAAUCCAUGGGCUCAACCCAUGAACUGCUUUCAAAACUGUUUUUCUUGAGUAGUGCAGAGGUAGGCGGAAUUCCCGGUGUAGCGGUGGAAUGCGUAGAUAUCGGGAGGAACACCAGUGGCGAAGGCGGCCUACUGGGCACCAACUGACGCUGAGGCUCGAAAGUGUGGGUAGCAAACAGGAUUAGAUACCCUGGUAGUCCACACCGUAAACGAUGAUUACUAGGUGUUGGAGGAUUGACCCCUUCAGUGCCGCAGUUAACACAAUAAGUAAUCCACCUGGGGAGUACGACCGCAAGGUUGAAACUCAAAGGAAUUGACGGGGGCCCGCACAAGCAGUGGAGUAUGUGGUUUAAUUCGACGCAACGCGAAGAACCUUACCAAGUCUUGACAUCCCUUGACGAUGCUGGAAACAGCAUUUCUCUUCGGAGCAAGGAGACAGGUGGUGCAUGGUUGUCGUCAGCUCGUGUCGUGAGAUGUUGGGUUAAGUCCCGCAACGAGCGCAACCCUUAUGGUCAGUUACUACGCAAGAGGACUCUGGCCAGACUGCCGUUGACAAAACGGAGGAAGGUGGGGAUGACGUCAAAUCAUCAUGCCCUUUAUGACUUGGGCUACACACGUACUACAAUGGCGUUAAACAA
rnacentral:rRNA from 1 species